CUGAGUUUAGAAUUAGGAAUGAAAACAGGGUCAUAUGGGUAAUCGUGCGAGUAUUUUGUAUGUGGUUGUUGUUCGGAGGACGGGAAUGAUCGCCCAAAUGGGAUAAAAGGACCUUUGUUGCCAUUUUUUUUUAUUUUUUAAAAGGACCUUUACCGCAAAGUGAACCGCUUCAAAUGAUCUUUUUGACAAAUUUUCCUUUUUCUUUUUUUUUUUAAUGACUUGAAUGUUUGGUAUGAGUCAUAUCCACCUUGUCCUUUAAACCCCGUACCUUGAGCGUUUUGAGGUAUGAGUCUAAAAAGUGAAAUUUUCUAAAUGAACACUAGAUUUGGGUUUUAUCCAUUUUAAACCCUUACUUACCAACCAAACACCCCCUAAAGUAUAAUUAAGUAGGGAGUUUGUUAAUCAUCAAUUUCGCUAGAGGUUUUUGAACAUAGAGUGUAACUGUAUAAGUGGGGAGUUUGUUAAUUAGUGCUAUGACUGCUAUCAUUUUGCUUCUAGGUAACUAAGUCAUAGCACAAUUGACUUUAACUUUAAGCUGUAGUUGAAUAAAAUACGAUUUUUAAUCUUGAUGAAUUUGUAUCAGGGGGAUAAAUUGGGCUAAUACAAGGAAGACGAAGAAAACCAUGGAAGAGGAUAAUAAAAAGUGUGCUUUUGUUUCUUACAUGGAUACUCUCCCACUUGACAUAAUCUCUAACAUACCGUCCCGAUUACCAGUCAAGUGUUUGUUGUGUCUCAAAUGUGUUUGCAAAUCAUGGCUGACAGUGAUCAGCAGCCCUGAAUUUGCUCACUCUCAUUUCCACCAAUCUCUCCUCUCCAAGUCCGGUCGCCUUGUUGUUUUCUCGGGCAUCGUUGAUACCUCCACGGAGGAGGAGGAGGAGGAGGAGGGCGCUGAGAUAUGUGAGGUUGACCUCUACUCCUUUGACCUUGAUUCACCGGAAUCUCCUGCAGUCAAGCUUCCAGUACCCCACAAGUUUGACUCCGCUGACACUUCUAUUAUUGGUUCAUGCAAUGGGUUACUAUGUCUUCUUCUCCCAAAUUCCGAGGUAAUCUUGGUCAAUCAAGCAACGAUGACAUUCUAUAAGAUCCGCAAAGCUCCUAGGUGCCGUAAGGAUGCUUACUAUGGGUUUGGGUAUGAUCAUCUUUCAGAAGACUAUAAACUUGUUAUGUUUUUUAAUAAGUGGCAUGGGUCCCCCCGUGAAAUGAGGGUUUAUAGCUUGUAUUCCAAUUCUUGGAGGUUGAUUAAAGAAGGGAACUCUUUGGGACAUGAUAUUAGGUCUUAUGGUGUACUAAUUAACAACCAUUUGCUCCAUCGGAUCGUCUGGCAUUCGCUUUGGCCACUUGGUCGACCUGCCAUUGCUUGUUAUGAUCUUUGCAAUGAGUAGCGGGGAGAGGUACCUAUCCCUGAUGACAUUGUGAAGGCGGAUAUUACUUACACAUUUGUAGCAGAAUUACGGAAUCUAGAUGGAAGUUUAUGCUUGUUGACAGAGACUUAUGUUAGAAAAGAGAAACUGGUUGCUGUGUGGCUAAUGAAAGAGUAUGGGGUUAAAGAGUCUUGGGUGAAGUUGGACUUUUUGCAUUCAGUUGCCACCCAAAGGUUGUCGAAUCUGCCCAUAGCCUAUUCCAAAGGAGGGCAAGAGAUUUUGGUGAUGAAGCAUGAUAAUCCUGCUUUUGUGCCAUUUUGUUGGUACAAUACAUUAGACAAAACCCUCAGAAACACCGGGAUCCAAGCAUGGCCAAAGUGUUUAAGGUUCGUGAUUUGUUGGAGAAGCCUCUUUUCUUUCCCUCGUGGUAAGCAUUUUGGUGCUGAGUUGCUGCAGAAGCAAGGGAGCUGCUCGCGGGAGUUGCAGCAAGUCCAACUCAAGCAUGGAGGAAUGCUGGUCAAGUUGCAGACAAAAUGGCUAAAUAAUGUAGAAGCAACAACUUGAUCUAAAUGUAUUUUGUAAUUUACACAACCCCUCCCCUGGUUUGUACUAAGUUGCUUUUGAUGAACAAGAAUUUGAAUUCCGGAAUUUCUCUCGGACUUCAAACAAUGGUGCUUUGGUGAAUGCAGCUCUUCUAGCUCAUUCAUGCCUACUGUAUUAACCCUGGCGGGGUUCCAUUUUUUUUUUUUUAUUUACCAACGGUUAAACCCUAUAUUAAACCCUAACAAAGUAUUAUGUUAUU